rnacentral:rRNA from 1 species
GAGUGGCGAACGGGUGAGUAACGCGUGAGGAACCUGCCUCAAAGAGGGGGACAACAGUUGGAAACGACUGCUAAUACCGCAUAAGCCCACGGCUCGACAUCGAGCAGAGGGAAAAGGAGCAAUCCGCUUUGAGAUGGCCUCGCGUCCGAUUAGCUAGUUGGUGAGGUAACGGCCCACCAAGGCGACGAUCGGUAGCCGGACUGAGAGGUUGAACGGCCACAUUGGGACUGAGACACGGCCCAGACUCCUACGGGAGGCAGCAGUGGGGAAUAUUGCACAAUGGGGGAAACCCUGAUGCAGCGACGCCGCGUGGAGGAAGAAGGUCUUCGGAUUGUAAACUCCUGUUGUUGAGGAAGAUAAUGACGGUACUCAACAAGGAAGUGACGGCUAACUACGUGCCAGCAGCCGCGGUAAAACGUAGGUCACAAGCGUUGUCCGGAAUUACUGGGUGUAAAGGGAGCGCAGGCGGGAAGACAAGUUGGAAGUGAAAUCCAUGGGCUCAACCCACGAACUGCUUUCAAAACUGUUUUUCUUGAGUAGUGCAGAGGUAGGCGGAAUUCCCGGUGUAGCGGUGGAAUGCGUAGAUAUCGGGAGGAACACCAGUGGCGAAGGCGGC